rnacentral:rRNA from 1 species
UGGCGGACGGGUGAGUAAUGUCUGGGAAACUGCCCGAUGGAGGGGGAUAACUACUGGAAACGGUAGCUAAUACCGCAUAACGUCGCAAGACCAAAGAGGGGGACCUUGGGCCUCUUGCCAUCGGAUGUGCCCAGAUGGGAUUAGCUAGUAGGUGGGGUAAAGGCUCACCUAGGCGACGAUCCCUAGCUGGUCUGAGAGGAUGACCAGCCACACUGGAACUGAGACACGGUCCAG